ensembl:lncRNA
UCCCAACACCGGCAACUUCCCGUAAAUCUGCACUGAAAUUUUAUCCUGCUCGCUGAGCCUCCGCUGGCCGAUGGCCAGUGCAACAUUCCUGUUGUUUUAGCAGCGCGGAUACCUUAACUGAAGGUUUUCUUUUUAGAAAAAAAAAUCGUAUCGAACUGGCCCCGAUAUUAAGAUUUAGGAACUUUGGCCGCUCUAAAAGUCCCAUCCAUUUCAGACAUCCAGAAGGGACCCCAGAAGUGGCACCUGCCCCACCUGGGGACAUCUAGGAGAGUGGCUUCCGGUCGCCUGUAGCUGUUCAGAGUAAGCCACCCUGAGCCUGCAUCGAGGACUAAGCACCCUGCGCCUGACUCCCGGGCGAGCAGUACCACUGCCCCCGGCCUUGCGGGACAGGAAGGCGCUGGAGCAGGUAGGGCGGCAGCGAGCCCCGCCGCGGGCCUGCAGGAAGCCGGGACCUUCUGGACUGUCCUUACCUGAGGCUGAGCAUGGCUCGGAGAACACAGGCAGGCACUUAGAAGGAGGUUCCAGACCCAUCUGCCCUCGCUAUCUGUGAGCCUGUGAGCAAGUUAUAGUUUCUGGAAGAUUCUAAAGAUGGGAGUUUUACAUUCACUGUGGACAAUUUCAAGGAGAAGGAAAAACGAAGUCUUCGUAAAGGGGUGUGCAACUGAUUUUCGUCUUCUGUAGAAGCUUCAAGGGACGUGGAGAGAAGUUCGCCCUGCAUUCCAGGAAGUGCAAAUCAAACGCAGCAAAAGUCAAGCCAGACCAGUUUAACCGUGUUCUGGAUUCUAAAUCGAGUCUCUGAAGACAGGUGCACACGUGUCCUGAGAACCGCAAGCUGCACGAAGACUCCGGGUUCCGCACUGUUCCUAAGGGUUGAUACAGUUAGGUAGCGACCAAGACGCCACAGCUGUAAAACGGCUUGGAAACCGGGUUUCCGAGAGGCUUUCUGAGCUGGAGGAGGCACGGUUCUGUACUUCAAAAUGGGUUUUUCCAUAGGAAGCUCUGGGCCCAGCCUUGAGAAGCAAGGACCAAAGAGAUUAGAUGUAGCCGAGGAAGGCGUCCGUCAAAGUCAGCAAGAAAGUC